rnacentral:ncRNA from 1 species
AAAUCGGCUUGGGGCUGUGAUUCACCUUCUUUAUCCGGGCGUCUCCACGGAGGGUGAGGAGCCAGUGACGCGACCGACAAGCAAGUCG